CCCUCUGCCACCGCCCGCCGAAGCGGAGCCGUGCCUCCCGCCUUGUUCCGUACUGCUGCCUCACGGCCCCUUCCGCGGCGGCGCUCGGGAGCCGCAGCUCACAACAGCUGAAACAUCCUGACAUCCAAGAAUUUUCAUCAAGAGGAGUGAGGUAAUGAGCUUCUAUGCUAGAGAUGCUCACUGCCUCACAGGAUUGAGAACCUGAGAGAAAAGGAAUGCACAAGAUGACAGCACUACCUCAGUUGUGUUGAUUUUCAGGUAUGGUGAGAAAUUAUUUCCUUGAGAUAAUACUUAAAAUUUAACAGUGGUUAAACUACAGUCCUUUAGUAUUCCUUGCUCCUUGGACUGUGUUGUACGUGAAGAAAUUCUUCAAAGUUGCAUCCUGAGUUUUCAGUCCUGUAUUUAGAGACUUUGUUAGUAAAAGGCUGAAAUGCAAGUGAAAGUUUCACUGUUUUAAACAAAUCUACAAAUAAGGUCUGGAUAGAACUCCAUGGGAUCUGCCUCCAAAACUUCAGGAAAAUAGGUCUUACUCUUCCAAUUAUCCAUUCAGAAAGUACCCAGCAGUGUGGAUUUUAUGUAGAGAGACUAUUGUUAUUUGCCUGUUUUUGUUUUUGUUUGUUUUUUAGUUUUUAAUCCUUAUCAUGUCAUAGAGCUUGUUCAAGUACAGAGCAAAGCAGAAACUGAAAGGUUUUACUAAUUUUUGAAAGAAAAUGAAAGCUGCUGUAAAUAAGUGCAGUCCUUCAAGUCAUUUGCCAGCUAAGCAUGUACAAAGCAUGACACUGUACAAUUCUCUCUGGUAGCAUGACUGUUAUGAUUUUGAGUGCAAAUCAAAUGGAAAUUCGAGCAUGAAAUGAUGGAUUGUUACUGAACUGAGACAUGAGGGUGUGGCAUGAUGGUGAGGGAGUUUUGAGUUGAGUUUCAUCUGAGCUUCGUUAUAUGAAGUUUUUCUUGUAACCCAUCCAACGGAUCAGGGUCAGAGAGGCUGGAAUCAGAAGAUAAGAAUGUAGACCUUACCAACAUCUCUGUUUUGGUAAACACAGCAAAAAUCACACGGUUUGGGAAGCUGUGAAUUAGCAGAUGUGGGAAAAGCAGUACAACAUCUCAGCUGAAGUGAAAAUGAUCAUUGAUUUGCAAUCCCAUCUCCUCCAUUUGCUUGAUGAUGUAUCCUGAUGAAAACAAUGCAUGGGAAACUUGACACAGAGGAACUUGCAAGCCUGCAGUAUUUCCUGCCCCCUGCUUGUUGGCUUGUAUUUUUCUUGUGCGCAAAAGAUGAUUUUGAUGAGUAACUCUAGAUAUAUCAGCACUAUCUGUAUGAGAAAAGGUUUGGGGCAAGUCAGCUAUUAAAUAGGUGUAAAAA